UUACGGUCAUAGAACGUUAAAACAUCGGUUCCCAUACGAUCAGCAAAGUUAAGCAACGUCGAGCUUGGUCAAUACCUAGAUGGGUGACUGCUUUGGGAAUACCAGGUGCU